rnacentral:rRNA from 1 species
CAGUCAUAUGCUUGUCUCAAAGAUUAAGCCAUGCAUGUCUCAGCUUAAGUUUUCUUACCAUGGUGCUGUGCAUGGCUCAUUAUAACAGCUGUAAUUCAGUGGAUGGUUGCUGCACAUGGAUAUCUGUGGCAAUUCUGUGGCUAAUACAUGCUCAACAACGGGUUGUGGUCAUUUUCCUCAGAAUCAAUGCAUGCGAUGCCUGCUUGGUUGUCCAAGAAGAAUGACAGAAUGGAUUGCGUUGUUUUCACUGGUGCUGUGCCUUGAAAGUUUCUCACCUAUCAGCUGUCGACGGCAGGGUAGUGGCCUGCUGUGGCUGUGACAGGUGACGGAGGAUGAGGGUUUGACUCCGGAGAGGGAGCCUGAGAGAUGGCUACCACAUCUAAGGAAGGCAGCAGGCGCGCAAAUUGCCCAAUCCCAACAGAGGGGGGUAGUGACAAGAAAUAGCAAUACAAGGCAUCCAUGUUUUGUACUUGGAAUGAAUGGCCAGCAAACUUUGUUGUUAGGAUCAAUUGGAGGGCAAGUCUGGUGCCAGCAGCCGCGGUAAUUCCAGCUCCAAUGGCGUUUCUUUUUUUAGGAGUUGUUGCGGUUAAAAGGCUCGUAGUUGGAUCUCUGCUGGGGAUGUCUGGUCCGCCCUUUGGGUGAGCAUCUGGUGCAAUCCAAGCCCUUUUUUCCCAGAGGGGGGUCUGCACUUGACUGUGUGGUGCACUUCUGGGAGCAUUUACUUUGAGGAAGUAAGGGUGUUCAAAGCAGGUGUUUUGCCUUGGAUGCAGAAGCAUGGAAUAUUGUUCUGAGUCUUGGCCUCAUUUUGUUGGUUUCUGAAGCGAAGGUAGUGUUCAAAGGGGAUGGUUGGGGGCAUUCUCGACUGUCAGAGGUGAAAUUCUUGAAUUUGUCAAGGAUGGACCAGUGCGAAGGCUUUUGCCAAGGAUGUCUUCAUUGAUCAAGAACGAAAGUUUGGGGAUCGAAGACGAUUAGAUACCGUCAUAGUCUUAACCAUAAACAAUGCCAACUAGAGAUUGGGGGUCGUUACCUGUAGGAUUCUGUCCGCACCCUGCAAGACAUUUAAGUCUUUGGGUUCUGGGGGGAGUAUGGUCGCAAGGCUGAAACUUAAAGGAAUUGACGGAAGGGCACCACCAGGAGUGGAGCCUGCGGCUUAAUUGGUUAAUUCCGUUAACGAACGAGACCUUGACCUGCUAAAUAGUAACACGUAAUUGCGAGUAUGUGGACAACUUCUUCGAGGGACUUUGUGUGUCUAGCACAAGGAAGUGUGAGGCAAUAACAGGUCUGUGAUGCCCUUUGAUGUUCUGGGCUGCACGAGUGCUACACUGAUGCACCCACUGAGCACCUCAUCUUGCCUGAAGUGGCUGGGCAAUCUUUGGAAUGUGCACCGUGAUGGGGAUGGAUCAUUGCAAUUACUGCUUCUCAACGAGGAAUUCCUAGUAAAUGUGGGUCAUCAAACUUGCACUGAUUACGUCCCUGCCCUUUGUACACACCGCCCGUCGCUCCUACCGAUUGAGUGGUCCGGUGAACAGUUUGGCCCCGUUGUGGCAUUCAGUUCCUGAGAAGAUCUUCAAAAAAUUCAGUGAACCUUAUCACUUGGAGGAA